rnacentral:rRNA from 1 species
UAGGGAAUCUUCCGCAAUGGGCGAAAGCCUGACGGAGCAACGCCGCGUGAGUGAUGAAGGUCUUCGGAUCGUAAAACUCUGUUAUUAGGGAAGAACAAAUGUGUAAGUAACUAUGCACGUCUUGACGGUACCUAAUCAGAAAGCCACGGCUAACUACGUGCCAGCAGCCGCGGUAAUACGUAGGUGGCAAGCGUUAUCCGGAAUUAUUGGGCGUAAAGCGCGCGUAGGCGGUUUUUUAAGUCUGAUGUGAAAGCCCACGGCUCAACCGUGGAGGGUCAUUGGAAACUGGAAAACUUGAGUGCAGAAGAGGAAAGUGGAAUUCCAUGUGUAGCGGUGAAAUGCGCAGAGAUAUGGAGGAACACCAGUGGAGAAGGCGACUUUCUGGUCUGUAACUGACGCUGAUGUGCGAAAGCGGGGGGAUCAAACAGG